CAACCUGCCCAUCACUUGGGGAUAACCUCGCGAAAGUAAGACUAAUACCCGAUGAUAUCUCAAGAAGACAUCUGAAUGAGAUUAAAGAUUUAUCGGUGAUGGAUGGGGAUGCGUCUGAUUAGCUUGUUGGCGGGGUAACGGCCCACCAAAGCGACGAUCAGUAGGGGUUCUGAGAGGAAGGUCCCCCACAUUGGAACUGAGACACGGUCCAAACUCCUACGGGAGGCAGCAGUGAGGAAUAUUGGUCAAUGGGCGAGAGCCUGAACCAGCCAAGUAGCGUGCAGGAUGACGGCCCUAUGGGUUGUAAACUGCUUUUAUAAGGGAAUAAAGUGAGCCUCGUGAGGCUUUUUGCAUGUACCUUAUGAAUAAGGACCGGCUAAUUCCGUGCCAGCAGCCGCGGUAAUACGGAAGGUCCGGGCGUUUUCCGGAUUUAUUGGGUUUAAAGGGAGCGUAGGCCGGAGAUUAAGCGUGUUGUGAAAUGUAGAUGCUCAACAUCUGCACUGCAGCGCGAACUGGUUUC
rnacentral:rRNA from 1 species